rnacentral:lncRNA from 1 species
CUCUUGGGGCCAAACAGACACACCCAGUGCCAGUGACUCAGGGAGGAGCCGAGACCUGAACUUGAGCGACGUGGACGGAACACUUCGGGACUCCUGUGCCCUAAUUCUCACUCUCCUUCAGCUAUGUGUCUCCUUGAUUCAGUAUUUCACAAGAGUAAGCAUCCCAUUUCACAAAAGAAGCAAGGCUAGAACCCGGGAACCGAGGGCGAAUGACAUUCUGGUGAAACAUUUCCAUGCUUGAUGGUACCAGACGUCAUACCUGGGCACAUGGAAGAUAAUAUCUAUAACUGGAUUUCCCCAAAGGAAAAUUCUUAAACAAAAUGAGCAAAUAUGCAAAAGAAAGGGAAGAAAACCCUGGAAACAAUGGCUGAAGGACAGCUCCCAAGAAGCAUAAAUGAUUAAAAAGAGUUUUACGGUGUUGAUUACCAGAGGAAUCUCCUUGAGAAAUGGAGCCAGAAACUAUUCUAUCCAUUGCAACCUCCCUUACUCCAGCAGUUCAGGGAAACAAGAGGCUGUCCGCUUCAUACAGACAUACCCACUAAGUCAGCUGUAAAGAGACCGUAUUCUCAGAGAAAGAUUCAAAACCUGAAAGGCAUUCUGCUUCUGCAGGACGCAACAGAACGUGACUUUCUGUUGAGUAGAUGGUAGUGUUGAAAACCAGGCUUCAUCUUUAAAAAGCAACAUGUUCUGACAAGCUGUUAUUUUGUAAUAAUAUUUUCCCUUAUUUUAAAAUGUCUUGUUUUUGUCUUGAUUGCUGUUAUGUUUUCUUUUCUCUUCAAAAUAACAAUUAAAUAAAUAAAAUUUUUUAUAUGACUAUAUUUAGUUAUAGGCUAAAUAAUACUUUUUUUAAUCAAGUCUGUGAAUUUUUCCCAGAGUAUUUGAUUCUUCAAAAAUCUUUAAAUAGAUAAAUGACAGAUGCAAAAAUCUCCCAAAUUACUUGAUAAAUAUGCC